UAACACGUGGGUAACCUGCCCUGAUGAUUGGGACAACCCGAGGAAACUCGGGCUAAUACCAAAUGUGACCUCCGGCCAUAAGGCCGCUGGGGAAAGGAAGCUUCGGCCUCCGCAUCGGGAUGGGCCCGCGGCCCAUUAGCUUGUUGGUGAGGUAACGGCUCACCAAGGCUACGAUGGGUAGCUGGUCUGAGAGGACGAUCAGCCACACUGGGACUGAGACACGGCCCAG
rnacentral:rRNA from 1 species